rnacentral:misc_RNA from 1 species
AACCAGACCUCCAGUUUUUCUCUGCAAAAACCAGAAGAUAUAAUAAUAUCACUGUACCUGGAGAUUCAGUAGUAAGUGUCUGCCAAACCUGAGACUCUUAACGAAUAAUUAGUAUUCCAUUAAUUCCCUCACAUGAGUUACCAGAUCAUGAGGAAUUUAAACUGGUUUUGAACGAUUAAUUAUAGUCCACAAUGUUGGCAGAGAAAUGGAAAAUGCAACAAGGAUAAAAAAGUUCAUCGAAAAGAUAAAGAACUCCGGUGGAUACA